AAAAGAAAAAAAGAAAGUAUGGUCACAGCCUGGGUUGAGAUUUGGCACCCAGAGCCACCAGGGGCCUCAGCUCACCUCUCACUACCAUGGUCUGGGAGGAUGAAACCAGGCCACAACAAGA
rnacentral:snoRNA from 1 species